GUGAUCGCCCGCCAUUCCUUGGUUCUAUGCAACUCGAUUUUACCAACCGGUUUAUUAUCCUAUUUAUCGGUGGUGAAAAAGAAUUUAGGAAAAAAUAAAAAAAAGUAAAAAAAAAUGUGGAAAAUAACAACCGAGAAUGUGUGACGUGCUGCUGCUCCUGAGAGAGCUACGAUAUAUUCCCGAUACGGUCUUUUCGAAUGAAAUAAUCAUGAUUACCCACACCACCGCACCCGUAUAAUCUAAAGCCAACGUCGACCAGAUGGCCUUGUCUCGACUGUCAAUUUGUUCUAGUCUUUAGGAGCUAUCUCGUCGUGUGGCAAGAAAUUAUGUUAAGACAAUUAUACGGUACCUACAUUUCAAUUUCGAGUAUUGAAACAAUAAGGAAACAAAAUUACAAUACAUAAAAUACAACAGCGGCCAACAGUUUUCCCGUUUAGCUGGCGUCGAAAUCAAUCGACGCGUGAAAACAGACCUCCUUAUGGAGUGAAAAAAAGAGAAGAAAAGAGAAAAAAAAACUUUUCUGCGCGUGACAAACAACGUUGUCCAGAAAGUUGCGUGAUCGCGGAAAAGAUGGGAACGUUAAAAGAAGAAAGAAAACCGUUUGAAUGGAACGGAAGAGCAGAGAAUAUUCCCUUUCGAUACGAUUCGGUCAGUUCGUUUUCAAGCAGCUCCAUUAAUCCCUGUACGAGGACUCAAUGCAUCAGUAAUCUCUUCGACCUGUUACUGCUGGAAUGCCAGAGUCACAGCAGAAAGCGGACCUAUUACGACGUGCUUUCCUUUCGUGAAUCCGGAUGCAUUCAAUCGGUAAUUCUGUCGGUAGUAUUACAAUAUAACGCACGAUUGUUUGUCAAAACGACAAUAAUAAUAAGAAUUUUCCUCUUUAAAAAAAAAAAAAAAAAAAAAAAAAAACGAAACAAAUUCUGACAUGAUAACGGUAAGAAGAAGAACAAUGAUAAAGACAGGUUGCAUUAGGCAACGGUAGAUGGCUCCUCCUUCCAGUUAUUUUCAAAUAAAAUCAAGGAACA